GACGAACGCUGGCGGCGUGCUUAACACAUGCAAGUCGAACGGUAAGGCCCUUCGGGGUACACGAGUGGCGAACGGGUGAGUAACACGUGGGUGAUCUGCCCUGCACUUCGGGAUAAGCCUGGGAAACUGGGUCUAAUACCGGAUAGGACUCCUGGCUUCAUGGUUGGGGGUGGAAAGCUUUUGCGGUGUGGGAUGGGCCCGCGGCCUAUCAGCUUGUUGGUGGGGUAAUGGCCUACCAAGGCGACGACGGGUAGCCGGCCUGAGAGCGUGACCGGUCACACUGGGACUGAGAUACGGCCCAGACUCCUACGGGAGGCAGCAGUGGGGAAUAUUGCACAAUGGGCGCAAGCCUGAUGCAGCGACGCCGCGUGAGGGAUGACGGCCUUCGGGUUGUAAACCUCUUUCAGCUAUGACGAAGCGCAAGUGACGGUAGUAGCUGAAGAAGGACCGGCCAACUACGUGCCAGCAGCCGCCGUAA
rnacentral:rRNA from 1 species